GGGCGCUUGGCACAGGGGUAGCGCGCACGCUUCGCAUGCUUACGUAAUGCGUGAGGUCGUGGGUUCAAUUCCCACAGUGUCCA